rnacentral:tRNA from 1 species
GUCCCGGUAGCCCAACCGGCAGGAGGCAAUGCCCUCAAAAGGCAUACAGUGUGGGUUCGAAUCCCACCCGGGACA